UUCCACUGUUUCCCCAUCUAUCUGCCAUGAAGUGAUGGGACCAGACAGUCCUAAAUACAUGAAAUCCAUUCUAAGAGGAAGAGAGCUGCUCAUCAGAAGGGUCCUCCUCCUCCUCCCAAAUCUCCAGCUCACAAGACAAAGGAACCACAGAUUACUGGGCUAGGCGGAGCCCCAUCAAGCACUGACCAAGAAGAUUGUAUAUCACCUAGAAAUCUUGACCUUGGAGCAGGAGCCACAAGAGUCGCUGUGCUGUCUCCCUCUGGGAAAGGGAACGUCUGAGUCCCUGGCCACCGUGGGAGAGCCAUGCGGCGAAACUGGGGAGACAUAGUCUAUGGAUGAGGGCGACACCUACAGGACAAGCUGCGAACUUCUCUUCUGCUUUUCGUUCUGACAGACAUUUAGCCGGGCAUGGAG
ensembl:lncRNA